rnacentral:rRNA from 1 species
CCCUUAGAUGUUCUGGGCUGCACGCGCGCUACACUGAUGCGUUCAACAAGUGUUAACCUUGCCCGAUAGGGUUGGGUAAUCUUUUGAAAGCGCAUCGUGAUGGGGAUCGAUGACUGCAAUUGUUCAUCUUCAACGAGGAAUUCCUAGUAAGCGCAAGUCAUCAGCUUGCACUGAUUACGUCCCUGCCCUUUGUACACACCGCCCGCCGCUCCUACCGAUUGAGUGAUCCGGUGAAUAGUUCGGAUCGUGCAGGUUGCCUUCGGGUGCUUGUAUGAGAAGUUCAGUAAACCUUAUCACUUAGAGGAAGGAGAAGUCGUAACA